GAUGCAGGGAGUAGUGGGGUCUGCUGCAGGGAUGUCCACACAGCCGGCCAGGGCUUUCCCAGGGGGACAUGUGAGGGGGUGGUCCUGAGGACCCUGGGAGCCUGGUGGUUUACUGAGCCCGCAAAUGCAGCUGGUCAUAAAGGACCUGGAGACAAGAGGUUGCAGACACCUCAGUGGCAAAUGGGCAACUCAGAAGAGGGUCCUCCGCAGAAUCCGACCACACUGGCACCCUGAUUCCAGCCUCUCGAACUGUGAGAAAGAAAUUCUAUUGUUUAGAAGCAUCCCCGCCCCAGACUAUAGUAUUGUGCUAUAGCAGUGGGACUAAGAAAUAAGCAGCCUUUAUUAAAACUUACUAUCCACCAAGCACUCUUUUAAGUAUCCCAUGCACAUUAAUUUAUUUAAUCAUGUUAUCAUUGCUCUGUCUAAUAGGUACCAUUAUUAUUGCUGUCCUCAUUUUACAGAUGACAAAGCUGAGAGCAGGGACUUUGACUCUUUGGUCCACUGUUCAACUCCAGCACCCAGAACGGCAGGAAUUCAAACAAAUUCAACUAAACAGCACCAAAAUGUGCUCUGAUGGAGAGCAUGGGGGCCAACAAUCUUCCAGAUGAUGGCACAGUGGGACCUUGGAGAUGCGUGGAGGCUUUGAGGCCAUUCAGGAGAAUCUGCCCCUCCCACCUGCACUCUCUCCUUUCAUACUUAUUUUUCAAGGGCUCCCUAUGGGUAGGACUUGUGUACCAAGAGGAAUCAGAUUUCCCCCAUCUGCCCCCAAGUAGGUUAUAAUUACAAUGUAAUAGGUUUUCUGCAAGGAAAAACUUAUGCAGAAAAAAUAUGGUAAAGUUAUAAAAGCACAAAGAGAAGCAAACUAAGUGCUGCAAUAAUUUUGUCAUCCAUCCUUCCAUGCACUCACUCAUCCAGGGGGCCUGAAGCCAUGAGAUGCAGGGAUGCGUGUGACACAGGCCCCUCUUCUGGUGGGGUGAGGCUGUGGCCUCCUCUGUCGGGGUAGCAAAGGCUUGGGGACAGCAGGUCCCAGCCUGAGGCCUCCCCCACCCCCCUGCUCUGCUCUGAGGAGCACUUUCCCCAGAGCUGGUCCAGCCCAGCCUGCAGCCUAGAGGGCUCUGGCUUGUCAAGAAAAGCAGGUCAAUAAGCCUUGUCCCAGGCCUUUGGGCUGACUGCCCCCUUUCAGCCUCCCUCUAGCCUGCCUCUAGCCUCUCUCCCUCCCUCCAUGGUGCCUGGCAGAGGGCCCCAGGCUCCCAGCCUGGCCUCUCGCUCACGCUCACGCACAGAGCCAUCCACAGACAGCGUGGCCGCCUCCCCCACUGGCCCCCAGAGCUCUGCGGGGUGAUUGAUGGGGCUGCUCUGCUCCCGGUCCCAGAGAGCUCCUUUGAAUAAUAACUUGCCCCAACUCCUCAUGCCACAGCCUCUGCCAUUAGGAUUUCUGUAUUAACCCUGACCUCCGCUGGGAGAAGAAAAGCACAUAUGGGAGGAAUGGGGGGCAGGGGCGGGGAGGGCAGGGAUAUUUCCCUGAAGUCGCCCCUUAAAGCCAGCCACCUACUCUGUUCACAUGUAAAGCUGGUCCCAUCUGCCUGCAAGGAUGUUAAGAGUUUGUUUCAUCCUUGAAGGGGCACAGCAGAGCAAGAGAGAUGGGGUUCAAGUGAGUUAUGUUAGUUCAUCAACACCAACACUUGAUCACCUACCACGUGCAAGGGACAGGGGAGACAAAGCCUCAAAGACACUCUUCCUGCCCUCGAGGAGUUCACAGACAAGCAUAGGGAAAUCCAAUACCUGUGACAGAGGCUGUCGUGGAAGUAGGUCCCAUGCAGUCACACGGAGGAGCCUGGCCCAGAGAUGGACCAGCAAGGAAGUCGUCACAGAUGAGCUGAUGAAGUGUUCUGAGAUCUCAAUCAGAAGGCAGGGAAGCCUGCUCCAAAUGUCAGCCACUACAGAAGCAAUGGCUUGAAAGUGUGAAAUUGUACUGUGUUCAGGAGAACUCUGAGUUGCAUGGCAUUUUUAGAGCAUGAAGGUGAGAUGGAUGUUGCCAAGACACAAGAGGAAGGGCUGGUAAUGAUACUGGCUGUGGAUUUUUGUUUGUUUUUGUUUUGUCUUUUGUCUUUUUAGGGCCACACCUGUGCCAUAUGGAGGUUCCCAGGCUAGGGGUGUUAUUGGAGCUACAGCUGCUAGCCUACACCACAGUCACAGCAAUGCCAGAUCUGAGCCUCGUCUGCAACCUACACCACAGCUCACAGCAACGCUGGAUCCUUAACCCAUUGAGCAAGGCCAGGGAUCAAAUCCACAACCUGAUGGUUCCUAGUCGGAUUCAUUUCCACUGCACCACGAUGGGAACUCCCUGGCUGUGGAUUUAAUUGAGUGCUCCUGCAGAGAGGCCUGUGUGCCAGUCUCAGGAGUUUGAUGACUGUGACAGGACAGUUAUCCAACAGGAAGGGGUGUCAUCAGAUCUGCAACAGUGCAGAGGACGGAUGGGAGCCGGAGAGGCUGGAGAAAGGGAGACCAGUCAGGAGGUGGAUAAAAUAGUCCAGGGAAGGGGCCCUUUAAGGACUGGACCAAGGCAGGGCUGAUGGGAGAGGGAAUGGCUUUAAAAGCAUGUUAACAGGAUGGGGAGAUAGAGGAGUCAAGGGUACCUCCUGGUGCCACCAGCUGAAACAGAGAUCAUGGCGUAGAAACAUUCACGAACCAACAUCAAGCACCUACUAGAUGAGUGGUGCUAUUCCAGGCACAGAGACACAGAGAUAAAUAAUUCACUUCACUUGAAGGUACUUCAGUGCUUUUAAAAGACAAAUUUAAUUUGUAUAUACAUACAUCCAACAAAGUUUGGGGCAAUCUCAGAACUUUUUUUUUUUUUUACAAAAAAAAAAAAAUGCACUUAGACCCUGCAAUACUGAAACUCACUCUCUAUUUUGUUUUCUCCAGGAGGCAACACUCACACAAUUGAGAUGAUUCAAGGUGGCCCAUCUGCCUGGGGUAGGAUCAGGGCAGCUCAUCUGGGGCCUCUGCCAUGCGACUGAGGUUGGGGGGGGCGGGAAGCUUCUUUGAGAGUCCAUAUCUCUGUCCAACAUCUCUGCCUUUCAGCUGGAGUCUUCUUUCCCCCUGGGAUGGGUUUGCUCAUAAAAAUAAAUGUCUUGUCCGAAUUAAUCUUAGUUUUAAAAGGAGAGAGUCAUCAUAUUGUAAAGACAGAUCAUAAAAAGAUGCAUCAAUCUGUCAGGAAGGAUGGUUAAUAGGAGUAUUUGUUUAGCAGAGACAGUGCACCCGAGGCAGCCUUUCUGGACCAGCCCUAGGCCUGGAAGGGCCUUUUAUAUGAGUACUUGGAGCAUCUAGGGCCAGCAGCUUUGCAUACUGAAUAAGGGCACUCUAGCAGCCAGACUCUGCAAAAAGGCCAGGAGCGUGCCCCUACCCCACCCUGGGAGGAGGGCCCAUCCCUCAGUCCCAGCUGUGUCCCAAUCACUUCAUUUUGAGAAUUAAUCAAUAUAAGAGAUCUUAGAUGACACCUCAGACAAUCUAUUUUGUUUUAUUCUUUUAAAAAGUGACACAGGCAGUUCCCAUUGUGGCUCAGUGGGUUAAGGACCUGCUAUUGUCUUUGCAAGGAUGCAGGUUCAAUCCCUGGCCUUGCUCAGUGAAGGAUCCAGUAUUGCCACAAGCUACAGCACAGGUCACAGAUGCAGCUCAGAUCUGAUGUUGCUGUGGCUGUGGUGUAAGCUUCAGCUGUAGCUCCAAUUCAACUGCUAGCCCGGGAACUUCUAUAUGCCUCA
rnacentral:lncRNA from 1 species